UACGGGGGGGGGCAAGCGUUGUCCGGAAUUAUUGGGCGUAAAGAGCUCGUAGGCGGUCUGUCACGUCUGCUGUGAAAACUCGGGGGCUUAACCCCCGGGCCUGCAGUGGGUACGGGGCAGACUAGAGUGCGGUAGGGGGAGACUGGAAUUCCUGGUGUAGCGGUGAAAUGCGCAGAUAUCAGGAGGAACACCAAUGGCGAAGGCAGCUCGCUGGGACGGUACUGAGCUGAGGCGCGAAAGCGUGGGGGAGCAAACAGG
rnacentral:rRNA from 1 species